rnacentral:rRNA from 1 species
GUAACGGCCUACCAAGGCUACGAUGGUUAGCUGGUCUGAGAGGAUGAUCAGCCACACUGGAACUGACACACGGUCCAGACUCCUACGGGAGGCAGCAGUGAGGAAUUUUGCGCAAUGGGGGAAACCCUGACGCAGCAACGCCGCGUGAGUGAUGAAGGCUUUCGGGUCGUAAAGCUCUGUCAAGUGGGAAGAACCUGUCCGAUGUCAAUACCAUCGGGCACUGACGGUACCACUGAAGGAAGCACCGGCUAACUCCGUGCCAGCAGCCGCGGUAAUACGGGGGGUGCAAGCGUUAUUCGGAAUCAUUGGGCGUAAAGGGCGCGUAGGCGGCCUCUUAAGUCAGAUGUGAAAGCCCGGGGCUUAACCCCGGAAGUGCAUUUGAAACUGAGAAGCUUGAGUAUGGGAGAGGGAAGUGGAAUUCCUGGUGUAGAGGUGAAAUUCGUAGAUAUCAGGAGGAACACCGGUGGCGAAGGCGACUUCCUGGACCAAUACUGACGCUGAGGCGCGAAGGCGUGGGUAGCAAACAGGAUUAGAUACCCUGGUAGUCCACGCAGUAAACGUUGUUCACUAGGUGUAGCGGGUAUUGACCCCUGCUGUGCCGCAGUUAACGCAUUAAGUGAACCGCCUGGGAAGUACGGCCGCAAGGUUAAAACUCAAAGGAAUUGACGGGGGCCCGCACAAGCGGUGGAGCAUGUGGUUUAAUUCGACGCAACGCGAAGAACCUUACCUGGGUUUGACAUCCCGAGAAGUCUCUUGAAAGAGAGAUGUGCCCUUCGGGGAGCUCGGAGACAGGUGCUGCACGGCUGUCGUCAGCUCGUGUCGUGAGAUGUUGGGUUAAGUCCCGCAACGAGCGCAACUCUUAUCUUUAGUUACCAGCAUUCAGUUGGGGACUCUAAAGAUACUGCCCCGGUUAACGGGGAGGAAGGUGGGGAUGACGUCAAGUCCUCAUGGCCCUUAUACCCAGGGCUACACACGUGCUACAAUGGGCUGUACAAAGGGUCGCAAACCCGCGAGGGCGAGCUAAUCCCAUAAAGCAGCUCUAAGUUCGGAUUGGAGUCUGCAACUCGACUCCAUGAAGCUGGAAUCGCUAGUAAUCGUGGAUCAGCACGCCACGGUGAAUACGUUCCCGGGCCUUGUACACACCGCCCGUCACACCAUGAGAGUUGGUUGUACCAGAAGUUGUUGGACCAACCCGCAAGGGGGGUAAGCACCUAAGGUAUGGCUGAUGAUUGGGGUGAAGUCGUAACAAGGUA